rnacentral:lncRNA from 1 species
AAUAUAAAAAUUUCAAAAAUUUUGAACCAACUGUUUUGUCAGAAAAAUUACACUGGUUAUAUAGCAGUUUGACAAACACCAAUUUUGAUCAUUGAGAAGCUUAAUAUUCCUUUUACAACACAGAGUAAUUAAAACGUUUAUUUGACUUUGCAGAGUUAUCUCCCUGUAGUGUUAGGUACCACCUUAAAUUUUUGGUUCUCCUGUAUCCAAGAAAAUUCAUAUCCAACAUUUAUCAAUGAAUCCACAGUACUUGAUUUCAUAGUUUUGCCAAAGUCUGUUUAAAAUUUUUUACUCAAAUUUUGUGUUCGCCUAUACCCAUGAAAUGCUCAAAAAUAUAUAUUUUAACAAUAAUAAUGAAUCCACAGUACUAAAGGGGCACUAGCUGUCAAAUUCGUGGUCACCGAUUUGACUCAAAUUCUAAUAUUUAAUUUAUAAUAGUGUAAAACAUUUAUCCAAACUACCAAAAGUCUAAAAUAAACAGUUUACAAAGCAUGGGGUAGAUAAUAUGUAGGUUCGUUUUGUGUGUAUUUUAGUCCAGACGCCAUCUAAUUAACUAUCGAUUUGACCUCAGAUGACCAUAUAAUCGAUGUAAACAUGAAUGAAGAUAUGAAUAGAUUAAACCAACACGUGCAAUUGGAUUUCUUUUAGGUCUGUUUGGGUUUAUUUUAUAGAUUAAAAAUAUAUGUUUCUCAUUGUUUUAACCGUAUAAGAAUGAUUUUAU